rnacentral:rRNA from 1 species
UCCAGACUCCUACGGGAGGCAGCAGUGGGGGAUAUUGCACAAUGGGGGGAACCCUGAUGCAGCGACGCCGCGUGGGUGAAGAAGCGCCUCGGCGCGUAAAGCCCUGUCAGCAGGGAAGAAGGAGGACGGUACCUGACUAAGAAGCCCCGGCUAACUACGUGCCAGCAGCCGCGGUAAUACGUAGGGAGCAAGCGUUAUCCGGAUUUACUGGGUGUAAAGGGCGCGUAGGCGGGAUGGCAAGUCAGAUGUGAAAUCCGGGGGCUCAACCCCUGAACUGCAUUUGAAACUGUCGUUCUUGAGUACUGGAGAGGUUGACGGAAUUCCUAGUGUAGCGGUGAAAUGCGUAGAUAUUAGGAGGAACACCAGUGGCGAAGGCGGUCAACUGGACAGCAACUGACGCUGAGGCGCGAAAGCGUGGGGAGCAAACAGGAUUAGAUACCCUGGUA